CAUGUCUCUUGUUAUAUAACGUGAUCAGUAGACAUUAUAUUCGUAAACUGGCAUAAAAAUCAUGAUGCCAAUCUAAAUAAUUUAAUGCAAUUGAGAGAUGGAAGUAAAUUACUAAAAACAAAUCAAGUUCAAAUAACAAUGAUUUUUUUUUUAAACCCGACACUAAAAAGCAUUGUGCAAUAUAUUUAACGCACAUUGCGGACAAGACUAUCAAAAUCUGCAAUUAUUCUAUAUUAUACUCGAGGAUGAUAUGAGAG
rnacentral:lncRNA from 1 species